ACGGAGACACAUCUCUAGCUACAGCUGACUGAAAGAAUUUUUAAUUUCUGAAGAUUUAGCCGGUAACUAUACCAAGCUCCUUUAAAAAUGACCACGCUACGUCCAUUUACCUGUGACGACCUCUUCAAGUUCAACAAUGUAAACUUUGAUCCGUUGACGGAAACAUAUGGCCUUUCUUUCUAUACGCAGUACCUGGCACGCUGGCCAGAGUAUUUUCAAUUGGCAGAAUCGCCAAAUGGACAAAUAAUGGGCUACAUUAUGGGCAAGGUGGAAGGUCAUUUGGAUAACUGGCAUGGACAUGUGACGGCGCUGACGGUGUCACCGGACUACAGGCGUUUGGGUCUUGCCGCAUUGCUGAUGCACUUUUUGGAGGAUAUUUCCGAGAAAAAACGGGCUUAUUUUGUGGAUCUGUUUGUUCGAAAGAGCAACAAAGUAGCCAUCAACAUGUACACCAACUUAGGCUAUAUCGUUUAUCGCACGAUUCUCGAGUACUACUCAGGUGAUCAGGACGAGGAUGCGUAUGAUAUGCGAAAGGCGCUUUCCCGAGAUGUGAACAAGAAGUCUGUCAUACCGUACUCGCAGCCUGUACGAUUGGAAGAUAUAGAUAUGAAUUGAUAUCAACCUACUGCUCGUAUUCGCAUUUAUGUCUAACAGAUCGAAAAUCACUCUUGAUUGAAUGGCUAUGAAUUUUCUGAGCACGAGCGCUUUGAUUUCACUCCACCACCAACUCGAAGUUCCCCUUUUAAAUAAGCCCGUAACUAAUUGGUUUUCCACACUAUUAUUGUGAUAACAUGCUAUAUAUAUUCGCUAACUACAAUUUGACCCAUAUCCAGCUGCAAUACGAUAUACAAUUCGUAUUGUCGUUAAUCAUAUAUAUCUCAUUCUCUACGACUUUGUUACUGCAUUCAUAUUUAAAUAUUUACUACAUCGAUCGAAAUUGAACGUAAAUAACUUUAUUUCAAAAGAAUGACUACCUGUUUUUAAGGUAAAUAACGUGAGCAACUUUUCUUCCUGAUUUUGAUGUAAAUGACAAAAAGUAUCUAACAGUGAGUCCGUUCUGUAAAUAUAACGAUGCGCGAACUGCGCCAUAUAAACCGCGAUCAGUAGCGGUUAUUAUAGCAUAAUGUACCAAAAGAAAAGUACCCCACUGGUACAUAAAGAGAUUAUAAAAUACGAGUCGGCACUCAAAUAUUCAGAUUAAGCGACAAACUCAUCCGUAAAAGAGUAGAGAAGCUCCAUUGCUGGGUGAUCUGAAUGGGUCCUAUCUAAAUAGUAAUUAUUUGUAAGGAAAUUUUCAUUGAGGGAAUCUUUCAUCAUAUAUGUAAAAUGUUCUCGAGAAAAAUCCAGCCAUCAGAAUAUAAAUAAAAUGUGUAUAGAGUAUACAAAAGUGCGUGGAAAGAUCAAUACCAAACAGCCUUCUAUUAGUUUGAAUAUGAAAAUAUUAACAGGAUCUGUGGUUGGCAUAAAUUAAGGAUCUAUAAAUUACAACCAACGCGUAAAAGGAGUAUUUCAGACCUGGAGAAGACGAAGACCAACGCAAUCUGGGCAAUGUGCAGCAUCUUGGAUAUAAGUUGGAACUAAAGUUUGAAUGUUAUAUUUAUGCAUAGUUCAUAAGUAACUGUAUUUAUAAAGUUAAGUGUCUAAAUAGAUUGUGCAAAAUAUUGAA